UACCGGGUAAAAGGAUUUCUUGUUUUUACGAAGUGACGGAUAAGCAGCCGUCAAUACGUGAAAACAAACGAAUACGCUUUGCACUCAGAAGUUUUUUCACGAAGUGACGGAAGGCAAAUAUUUACAGUUUGGAACAGGCGAAGACCAUGAAAUGAUGCAGUAUAUACAAUAAACGAUGUUUCAGAGAACAAACGAGAGAAGUCCUGGAACUGGUACACUUGCUAUUUAACAAUGCUGAUGGUCAGAUACAGUUCCAGGUUGGAUCCAGGGGCCGACACGCUUGUCAGAUGGGUCAUUGAUAAUUCCCUGAACACCGCAGAUGUGAUCUGAUUUGGUGACAUGACAGUUGAAUCGGUAGUGACUGGAUUUUAAUAGUGUGCCCUGGUUUUGAACUGUUGAAGUAACCAAACUAGAAACAUCUUCUGAGAACUCCAGACUGCAAUUCUGAUGAUGAAACUCUGUCUACACUUGUGAAAAAUGUGAAGGAGUUGGCUCUGCCCCAUGGUCUUUCCGGGAUCAGGGCUCUCAUAUAAUUUCUUCUUUAUUUUCUAGCUGGGUAACUGAUACCAAUAUUAAUUUUCUUGUGAUUUUGACUUCGACAUAAGUUUAGUUUUAAUAUUGAUAGCACUUUCAAAUCUGGUUUCAGCUUUAGAGCAGUGUAUUAUAUAAUGAAACUGUACUGCUUCAACUAGUUUGUGCUUUUAUAGUGAUAUAAUUAUGAAGUCCUUUAAAUAUAUUUUAUAUAUACAGUCAAAUAUAAAGUUCAGAAUAGUCACUUAUCUGCUAUACUUACAUGUGUAAAUUGCUUAUACAAAUCGUCCACAUAUGGAUGCAAAAGAAU